rnacentral:rRNA from 1 species
GACGAACGCUGGCGGCGUGCCUAAUACAUGCAAGUCGAGCGAAUCGUUGGGAGCUUGCUCCCAACGAUUAGCGGCGGACGGGUGAGUAACACGUGGGCAACCUGCCUGUAAGACUGGGAUAACUUCGGGAAACCGGAGCUAAUACCGGAUAAUUCUUUUCUACUCAUGUAGGAAAGCUGAAAGACGGUUUCGGCUGUCACUUACAGAUGGGCCCGCGGCGCAUUAGCUAGUUGGUGAGGUAACGGCUCACCAAGGCGACGAUGCGUAGCCGACCUGAGAGGGUGAUCGGCCACACUGGGACUGAGACACGGCCCAGACUCCUACGGGAGGCAGCAGUAGGGAAUCUUCCGCAAUGGACGAAAGUCUGACGGAGCAACGCCGCGUGAGUGAUGAAGGUUUUCGGAUCGUAAAACUCUGUUGUUAGGGAAGAACAAGUACGAGAGUAACUGCUCGUACCUUGACGGUACCUAACCAGAAAGCCACGGCUAACUACGUGCCAGCAGCCGCAGUAAAAC